rnacentral:lncRNA from 1 species
GUGUAUGUUCCACUGUAUGCGAAAAUAUCUGAUCUUCUAACCAAUAAAUUACCAAGACGAGCAAAAAUGUUUGCACCUAUAUUGUAUUUUGAAAGCUUUUCACAUUAUUUCUAAGCUUUAUUAGCUUUGAGAACCUAAAAUUGAUACCGUGCCGUGUGUUUUUCUUUUGAGAUACGAUAUUUUCGAACAACAAAAUGUCUCACCAAUCCGACUACACUUUUUCGUCACAUGUCAGAAUUCAGGUUAAUGAUUGGUUAGAAGAUCAGAUAUUUUCGCAUACAGUGGAACAUACAUAUUUAAUUCUAAAUAAUCAAUAAAAAGAUUUCCACAAAAAAUUGAGAUACGAGGUUUUUGCAUAACAGCGACGAUAUGUUAUAAAGCA